CGGGUGAGUAACGCGUGGAUAACCUGCCUUUCACAGGGGGAUAACAGCUGGAAACGGCUGCUAAUACCGCAUGAGCCUCUUUUGUCGCAUGAGAAGAGAGGGAAAGAGAAAUCGGUGAGAGAUGGAUCCGCGUCCGAUUAGCUAGUUGGAGGGGUAACAGCCCACCAAGGCGACGAUCGGUAGCCGACCUGAGAGGGUGGACGGCCACAUUGGGACUGAGACACGGCCCAAACUCCUACGGAAGGCAGCAG
rnacentral:rRNA from 1 species